CGUGCAGGUGGUUUGGUAAGUUGGGUGUGAAAUCUCCUGGCUUAACUAGGAGAGGUUGCUCAAAACUACCAGACUAGAGGACGAUAGAGGAAGGUGGAAUUCCCGGUGUAGUAGUGAAAUGCGUAGAUAUCGGGAGGAACACCAGUGGCGAAGGCGGCCUUCUGGGUCGUUCCUGACACUAAGACGCGAAAGCAUGGGUAGCAAACG
rnacentral:rRNA from 1 species